UACGGAGGAUGCAAGCGUUAUCCGGAAUGAUUGGGCGUAAAGCGUCCGCAGGUGGCAAUGUAAGUCUGCUGUCAAAGCGUCUGGCUCAACCAGAUAAAGGCAGUGGAAACUACAUAGCUAGAGUAAGGUAGGGGUAGAGGGAAUUCUUGGUGUAGCGGUGAAAUGCGUAGAGAUCAGGAAGAACACCGGUGGCGAAAGCGCUCUGCUGGACCUAAACUGACACUGAGGGACGAAAGCUAGGGGAGCGAAUGGG
rnacentral:rRNA from 1 species